GCAGACACAUUCCAGCCAAUCAGCAGCAGACCCUCCCUCCCAGACCCUCCCACCUCCUGGACAGCUCAUUAAGAAGCUGCAUUCUUAGUGAGCUGUCCAGGAGGUGGGAGGGUCUGGGAGGGAGGGUCUGCUGCUGAUUGGCUGGAAUGUGUCUG